rnacentral:rRNA from 1 species
CGUUCCCGGGUCUUGUACACACCGCCCGUCACACCACGGAAGUUGGGGGCGCCCGAAGCCGGAUUGCUAACCUUUUGGAAGCGUCCGUCGAAGGUGAAAUCAAUAACUGGGGUG